rnacentral:rRNA from 1 species
AAGCACCUACGGGGCGCAGCAGUGAGGAAUAUUGGUCAAUGGUCGGGAGACUGAACCAGCCAAGCCGCGUGAGGGAGGAAGGUACAGAGUAUCGUAAACCUCUUUUGUCAGGGAACAAAGGCGGGGACGUGUCCCCGGAUGAGUGUACCUGGAGAAAAAGCAUCGGCUAACUCCGUGCCAGCAGCCGCGGUAAUACGGAGGAUGCGAGCGUUAUCCGGAUUUAUCGGGUUUAAAGGGUGCGCAGGCGGUCUGUUAAGUCAGCGGUCAAAGCCCGGGGCUCAACCCCGGCCCGCCGGUGAAACUGG